rnacentral:miRNA from 1 species
UAAUUAGUACCUGUCUGGGUAGA